UUCACUUCAUCAAAUUUUUAAUUAACGUAUCUAAUUAAUACAUCUAAAAUGGCCUACUACUAAACUUCCAAUUAAUGUAUUUAAAUGGUUCCCUAUCAAGUUUUUCUUCACCUUCACCACCAUGUGAUUCUUCCCCUUCUCUUCAUCAAAUUUUUAAUUAACGUAUCUAAUUAAUACAUCUAAAAUGGACUACUACUAAACUUCCAAUUAAUGUAUUUAAAUGGUUCCCUAUCAAGUUUUUCUUCACCUUCACCACCAUGUGAUUCUUCCCCUUCUCUUCAUCAAAUUUUUAAUUAACGUAUCUAAUUAAUACAUCUAAAAUGGCCUACUACUAAACUUCCAAUUAAUGUAUUUAAAUUCUCCAUUAAAUUUUUAAUUAACGUAUCUAAUUAAUACAUCUAAAAUGGCCCACUACUAAACUUCCAAUUUAUGUAUUUAAAUGUUCCCCUUGUCAUUUAUAAUUCUCACCAUUUUAUUUCUAAUUAAUUUAUUACGAUCCUUCACUUUUCCUCCACAAGACUUCUAAUUAGUCCAUCUUCGUC
rnacentral:lncRNA from 1 species